rnacentral:rRNA from 1 species
AUACGAAGGGGGCUAGCGUUGCUCGGAAUGACUGGGCGUAAAGGGCGUGUAGGCGGUUUUGACAGUCAGAUGUGAAAUCCCCGGGCUUAACCUGGGAGCUGCAUUUGAUACGUGUAGACUAGAGUGUGAGAGAGGGUUGUGGAACUCCCAGUGUAGAGGUGAAAUUCGUAGAUAUUGGGAAGAACACCGGUGGCGAAGGCGGCAACCUGGCUCAUUACUGACGCUGAGGCUCGAAAGUAUGGGUAGC